rnacentral:sRNA from 1 species
AUAGUUAAAGCGCUUAAUUCCAUUUUGGAAAUGGGGGACCCAAUUUUUUUUGGGGUGAAUCAUAUCUUCAAUGUUACUAAUAUAAAGGAUGGAGGUAUGUAGGGUUACUCUUUCAACCCGAACCCGACAGCUAACCUCGUAAGCGUAGAAGGAGGAAGA